UACGUAGGUGACCAGCGUUGUCCGGAUUUACUGGGCGUAAAGAGCGCGCAGGCGGUCGUUCAAGUCGAGUGUGAAAGCCCCCGGCUCAACUGGGGAGGGUCACUCGAUACUGAUCGACUGGAAGGCAGGAGAGGGAAGCGGAAUUCCCGGUGUAGAGGUGAAAUUCGUAGAUAUCGGGAGGAACACCAGUGGCGAAGGCGGCGACCUGGGCCAAUACUGACGCUGAGGUGCGAAAGCGUGGGGAGCAAACAGG
rnacentral:rRNA from 1 species